rnacentral:rRNA from 1 species
CAACUCUCAACAACGGAUAUCUUGGCUCUCGCAACGAUGAAGAACGCAGCGAAAUGCGAUACGUAGUGUGAAUUGCAGAAUUCCGUGAACCAUCGAAUCUUUGAACGCAUAUUGCGCUCGAGGCUUCGGCCAAGAGCAUGUCUGCCUCAGCGUCGUUUUGACACCUCACUCCCAUACCUUUUUGGUAUCAUGCAUCGAGCCAAGGCUUGAUGCUGGGCGUGGAUCUGGCUUCCCCAGGGCUUUCCUGGGUUGGCUGAAGUGCAGAGGCUAUAGCACGGACCCGUAUGGGCGUCAACUGGAUAGGUAGCCCCCACGUAAGUGGAUCUACACGAAGUUGUUUGCCUGGGAAACGUGUUGGUGGCCAAACAGGAAACUUCUCUCACUUCGACCUGAGCUCAGGCAAGAUUACCCGCUGAACUUAAGCAUAUCAAUAAGCGGUGGAA